UGUAACUGCAUUGAAAAGAGUGACCAGCAGAUUCUUUAGAAUUUCUCUCCUCUUUCCACAGAAGAAAGAAAGUCAUGCAGGUUUGGAACGAGGUUUGGAACAACAUGAGAAGCAAGGACGUGCUGAAGGAAAUUGCUUUGGAGAGUGCCGAUAUUUUCAUAUUUCAGAGCCGGUGUGUUUGCCUAGCACCUUGCAGAGAGAGCGAGAGCGCACUGUUUUCUAAAUGACGGGUAAUAGGAAGCAGCAGUUCAAGGCCGAGUUCAGAUGAAGCCGAUAAAAACACACUUAACAAGAUCCCUCACUCAACUCAUUCAUCAGAGAGCGGCGGAGCGACUCUACGAGUGCCACCUGUUUCUGAUACAGCCUAAAGGAAAGCCAGAGAAUGCAGAAAUAUCCAGAGACUUCAAGAACGGGAAGCUCUGACACUGAACACGCUCGGCUCGUGAAGUAAAGGGUAUUAAGAUGACAGCACGCUGAUGUGUACGCCGGUCCCGAGCUUGUGCGUCACCGUUUAUAAACUCGAGCGUGUGUGCGCACACAGUGCUCGUAUACCUGUGUGUGACUGGUAGGAAUAUGACGGCCAAUCAUAACAAGAGGACUUAAGGACGUGUUUGUGUAAGCACUGGAAAUUUCUCAGUGGGAAUAGCCUGUGCUUACUGAAAGCUCUGAUUACAGCUGUUUGAACAGAUGCUGGGCAGGAGGCAGGAGAAGGAUGUGCAGGUAUAAAGACACGUUCUGUGGAGGCCGAGACCCUGAACCGUCCUGCAAAUAUUAUUUUUCAACACCUGAGCAUUUUCUGAAGACCUGAAUAAUGACCUCUGGCUGAUGCCAAAUCAAAAUUGUGCGUAGGCGUCAUUAUGAUCCAUCAGUCUGGCGAACAGAAGCGCCUCUAUAUUUUGGCCGGACAUUUGUCCGAACUCCCUCUCUAUUCUGUAGCCGCCCUUUAGUUUAUCCAUGAGUUUAAGACUGGAAAGCUUCCAAAAGACAUACGAGAUCCUGACAUUACAGCUCAGAAAAAUGAAUCCAUUCUUUUUCGCUCCAAUCUAAUAUUCUUAAAUUACCUUCAAUCAAAAAAACACAUACAAAUUCUGUCAUCAUUUAUCUUUUCUAUACAAUGAAAGUGAAUCUGAAUGGCUUUUAGAAAAAGCACCAUAACAGAGUUGUGCACUGUUUAGAAUUUAAAUCAGAAUUACUUUUAAAUUCCAGUUCUAUUUGAUUUUGAGGUAGCUAACAGGAUGCAGAAAUUGAAUAUCAACAUAAGGAAGUAGAAUUAAAAUGAAUUUAAAGAAAUUCAUAAAACUGUACAUUUUAGAUAUGGAUGGAUGGAUGGACAAAUAGCAGUCUGUACAAUACAAGCAUAUCUUCAAAAGGCUAUAGAAUUUAGUGCACAAGUCACAUGAACUACUUUUACGAUAUUUUUAUGGUGCUAAUUUUCAGUUUUGCAGCCCUUAUCCCUCAUACUUUCAUUAUAUGGACUAAACUGCGCUGCACAUUAUGCAAAAUUACUUUUUUUCCACAAAAGAAAGUCAGUCGUAUAGGUUUGGAACAGCAUGAGGGUGAAAAGUUUCAUUUUUGAGGUAAAUAAACCCUUCACUGGCAGCAUUUUAAAGCAGGAUUUUAUAAUGUUAAACUCAUCCGUAUUUUAACUUCAUAUGCUACAGGGGGUGCACACAUUUUACAUGGGAAAUGACAUCACUGUGUACAUGAGCGUCAGGUGGUUUGAUGCCUAACGCUGCUGCAUUGUUUUACAUGGCAUAACUGUGUGUUUACCCACCAGGCUUAGGUUUCAUACUUUAGCCAAAUGCAAUAAAAGUUAUAACAAAACAUACCUGUAUU